ACAACUUUUAACAACGGAUCUCUUGGCUCUCGCAUCGAUGAAGAACGCAGCGAAAUGCGAUAAGUAAUGUGAAUUGCAGAUUUCAGUGAAUCAUCGAAUCUUUGAACGCACCUUGCACCCUUUGGUAUUCCGAAGGGUAUGCCUGUUUGAGUGUCAU
rnacentral:rRNA from 1 species